CCCCUGUGAUGAGUUGCCAUGCUAAUAUUGAGACACCAGGUAUGGGGUGUUGUUGAGAUAAAUUCUUCUCUUACAUCUACCUGAGGGGC
ensembl:snoRNA small nucleolar RNA, C/D box 9